ACCAAAAAUAAAUGCUGUCAUUUAGCCGCAGCUUGGAAUGUUGUCUCGCGUUUUGCAUUUGUUUAUUGUAAUUGUUUCUCCCACUUUCAAGCCAAAUGUUGUGUGGCUGGACCGCGGAGAGACAUUCCCAAGCACUUAGCUGGCCCUAAUAAUUCAGUUUGCCUUGGGCGCUGCAUCUGCAACUGUGCGGAAAAAGUGCAAUCCAACAGAAGUGCCACAAUGCAGCCACAGAAACGGACCGCAGCCGCGGCCCUAAUGCGUUCGCACACCUGGCCCUCGGCCCAAUCUGAUGAUUGUGCACUUGCCAUUGUGUGUACAUCUAUGAUACAUGUGUAAGAGGGCAAGUACCCUCCCACACACACCUCACACAUGUUAUCUUAACAAUUACGUAUGGCGCAACAUGCCUUAACGCCACCCAAAGGCUACCGAUUUCUGGUUAUAUCAGCAAAUCAACUCAUGACAUAACAUCGCGGCUAUAAUCAAAAUGAAAACGAAAGCAAAAGCAAAAGCAAAAGCAUAUUCUAGGGAACCGGUUUAGCUGGAUUCUAGAUCAACUACUAACCCAGUCUAGCCGGAGACGGAGCCGGAGCCGGAGUCGGCGUCUUUUGUUCGCUUUGGCACACCUUUCAAUGGAAUUUAAUAGUGGGAAUGGCAAGCGAAUCUCAAACUGUGCCACCACGUGAUUAUUUAUACAUAAAAGCUCUAGUUAGACAUUUUAUUUAAUUUACUGUUUGGCAAUAAUUGUUUUAUCUAUCA